AGUGAACGCUGGCGGUAGGCCUAACACAUGCAAGUCGAACGGCAGCACAGGAGAGCUUGCUCUCUGGGUGGCGAGUGGCGGACGGGUGAGGAAUACAUCGGAAUCUACUUUUUCGUGGGGGAUAACGUAGGGAAACUUACGCUAAUACCGCAUACGACCUACGGGUGAAAGCAGGGGACCUUCGGGCCUUGCGCGAUUGAAUGAGCCGAUGUCGGAUUAGCUAGUUGGCGGGGUAAAGGCCCACCAAGGCGACGAUCCGUAGCGGGUCUGAGAGGAUGAUCAGCCACACUGGAAAUGAGACACGGUCCAGACUCCUACGGGAGGCAGCAGUGGGGAAUAUUGGACAAUGGGCGCAAGCCUGAUCCAGCCAUACCGCGUGGGUGAAGAAGGCCUUCGGGUUGUAAAGCCCUUUUGUUGGGAAAGAAAUCCAGCUGGCUAAUACCCGGUUGGGAUGACGGUACCCAAAGAAUAAGCACCGGCUAACUUCGUGCCAGCCGCCGCAGUAA
rnacentral:rRNA from 1 species